GGGGGGGGGGGGGGGGGGGGGGGGGGGGGGGGGGGCGGGGGAGGCCUGCGGGGCGGGGGGCGCGCGGGUGGGUAGCGCGUGGGGACGUGCCCUUGGGUUCGGAAUGACGCCCCGAACGGGGGGCUAAUACCGGGUAGUGUCUUCGGCCCAAAGAUUUAUCGCCUUUGGGUGGGCCAGCGGUGGAUUAGCUAGUGGGUAGGGUAAAAGCCGACCCAGGUGAAGAUCCAUAGCUGGUCUGAGAGGAUGAUCAGCCACACUGGGACUGAGACACGGCCCAGACUCCUACGGGAAGCAGCAGUGGGGAAUAUUGGACAAUGGGCGAAAGCCGGAUCCAGCAAUGCCGCGUGAGUGAUGAAGGCCUGAGGGUUGUAAAGCUCUUUUACCCGGGAUGAUAAUGACAGUACCGGGAGAAUAAGCUCCGGCUAACUCCGUG
rnacentral:rRNA from 1 species